rnacentral:rRNA from 1 species
GACGAACGCUGGCGGCGUGCUUAACACAUGCAAGUCGAACGGAAAGGCCCUGCUUUUGUGGGGUGCUCGAGUGGCGAACGGGUGAGUAACACGUGAGUAACCUGCCCUUGACUUUGGGAUAACUUCAGGAAACUGGGGCUAAUACCGGAUAGGAGCUCCUGCUGCAUGGUGGGGGUUGGAAAGUUUCGGCGGUUGGGGAUGGACUCGCGGCUUAUCAGCUUGUUGGUGGGGUAGUGGCUUACCAAGGCUUUGACGGGUAGCCGGCCUGAGAGGGUGACCGGCCACAUUGGGACUGAGAUACGGCCCAGACUCCUACGGGAGGCAGCAGUGGGGAAUAUUGCACAAUGGGCGGAAGCCUGAUGCAGCAACGCCGCGUGCGGGAUGACGGCCUUUGGGUUGUAAAACGCUUUCGCCUGUGACGAAGCGUGAGUGACGGUAAUGGGUAAAGAAGCACCGGCUAACUACGUG